CCAGGCUGAAGACUUUGCCGGAUUAGCUGAGAGGUGGUGCAUGGCCGUCGUCAGUUCGUACUGUGAAGCAUCCUGUUAAGUCAGGCAACGAGCGAGACCCACGCCCACAGUUGCCAGCGUACUCUCUGGAGUGACGGGUACACUGUGGGGACCGCCGCUGCUAAAGCGGAGGAAGGAAUGGGCAACGGUAGGUCAGUAUGCCCCGAAUAUUCCGGGCUACACGCGAGCUACAAUGGUUGGUACAAUGGGUAUCUACCCCGAAAGGGGACGGGAAUCUCCUAAAACCAAUCUUAGUUCGGAUUGAGGGCUGCAACUCGCCCUCAUGAAGCUGGAAUCCGUAGUAAUCGCGUUUCAACAGAACGCGGUGAAUACGUCCCUGCUCCUU
rnacentral:rRNA from 1 species